GAUGAACGCUGGCGGCGUGCCUAAUACAUGCAAGUCGAGCGAAUGGAUUAAGAGCUUGCUCUUAUGAAGUUAGCGGCGGACGGGUGAGUAACACGUGGGUAACCUGCCCAUAAGACUGGGAUAACUCCGGGAAACCGGGGCUAAUACCGGAUAACAUUUUGAACCGCAUGGUUCGAAAUUGAAAGGCGGCUUAGGCUGUCCCUUUUGGAUGGACCCGCGUCGCAUUAGCCAGUUGGUGAGGUAACGGCUCACCAAGGCAACGAUGCGUAGCCGACCUGAGAGGGUGAUCGGCCACACUGGGACUGAGACACGGCCCAGACUCCUACGGGAGGCAGCAGUAGGGAAUCUUCCGCAAUGGACGAAAGUCUGACGGAGCAACGCCGCGUGAGUGAUGAAGGCUUUCGGGUCGUAAAACUCUGUUGUUAGGGAAGAACAAGUGCUAGUUGAAUAAGCUGGCACCUUGACGGUACCUAACCAGAAAGCCACGGCUAACUACGUGCCAGCCGCCGCCGUAA
rnacentral:rRNA from 1 species